GCUUCCAGUGUGUUGGCUCUGAGGAAGGGUUGACAAUUUGUGAGUAGAGGUGAUGGGUGUUGACACUGUUGACAUGUUCUGGGAUGAAGGUGAGACCUGUGUGGUGGCAGGUGUAGAACCUUGAGUCCUUACUGCUAUUGUGUGUCUUGUGUCUACUGAGGUACUUUGAGUGGAGGAUGUUGUGGUUAACAUGUGUGUUGUACUUGGAGCUGAGCUGCUCAUGAUGGAAGCAUAUGAGGUGGUUGUCUCACCAGGAGAGAUUGUUCUUUGGGAACGGUGAUGGGUGUUGACACUGUUGACAUAUUCUGGGAUGAAGGUGUCAGUGAGACUUGUGCGGUGGCAGGUGUUAAACCUUGAGUUGUUAUUGCUGUUGUGUGUCCUGAGUCUACUGAGGUACUUUCUGUGGAGGAUGUUGUGGUUAACAUGUGUGUUGUACUUGGAGCUGAGCUGCUGAUACUGGGAGCAUGUGAGGUGGUUGUUCCAUCAGGAGAGAUUGUUCUUUGAGAACUUGUCUCUGUCUGUAUUUGGUCACGUGAGGAGGCUGAAGGAGUUGAUGUGGUCACCUCGGUGGUUGUGGUGGUUUGAGGUUUGCUGGUCUCCAUGCUUGUAGUAUGAUGGCUCUGAGAAACUGUUGUUAUGGAACUUGGAGUAUCCCUUGUUGAUGUUUGUUCUGUUUUACUUGUCCUUCUGUCAGAAGAUGUUGAUGAGGUCGAUGCUUGUGAGCUCAUUUGGGA
rnacentral:lncRNA from 1 species